CUGACUGGAGGGGACAGGGUCAUAAGAGGCAGCAGAGGUGUAGGGAUAGAGACAUCCCUGGGGCUCUGGCUAUAAUCCAUCACAGUCACUAUAGUCAUCUCCCUCCUUGAGAAACUCUCUGGAGAGAGCAGAAUUAAGGAACCUCAAUCUCCACUCACCCUCCUGAACAAGCCCAACCCCUUGGGACCCCUUUUACCAUUGAUGGUGAGGGAGGGGAAAAGAAGGCAGGAAGGGGGAAUGAUGGAGUGAAAAUAGAGCCUGAGAGGGUUGGAGUGAGAGGGGCACUGACUGCUGGCAUAGAGGUUAGUGGGAUGUUCAGAGGUAGGGUUGUUGGGAGAAGGACCUCUGCCUCACCAAGGUGGACACUGACAUCACUGUCAACCAAUUCACUGCUUGGAGGGAUUAACAAGGUGAGGGUCUGGCUAGCCAGAACUCAUCUUCUCUUGUCUGCUUGUCCCCUUGGGGCUGCUAAUGAAUGUCUAUGAGGGGAGAGAGGUCCAGAAAUCUACCAAAAGGCAGAAAGGUGGUCAGGAAACACAAGCCACAGACUGCUGAAUCCAGUCCCACAAGGAAGAAAAGAUCCCUGCUAGUCCCUCCAGAACAACAGCUUUCCAUUCUGAGGAAGGGCUAAGUGAAGUGAAGAAGAGGGGACAAGUUUGGUCUAUUUUACACAGCCAUGAAGGGAAUGGAGAAAAGCAGGUCCUGAGUCCAGGAUCCUCUUGUCUGCCAAGCUACCUGUCUUACAUCUUGGUAGCUACCUCUUCUGAGAGCCAAGCUUAAUGCACUCAAGUUGCCUCAGAACCAGGAGGAGAAAUUCCCCAUAGAGCCAGGACUUCUGUGAGUCUUCAGUCAUGGAGGAGAAGAGAUCAAGUAUCUUGUAGAGAAGACUAAAGGGGAGUGUCAAAAGAACCUUGAGAAACAUCUGCCUGUAUUUCGGAGGAGAUAUUAAGAGGCCAAAGGCAAAGAGAUUGAGCACAUUGAUUCUUUGGAAAAAUCCCAAGGAAGAGGUUUCUACUAGGAAGACAAGGCUUGACUGGAUUCAUUUCCUGUUGUCUGUGUGCCCAUAGGCCUGCUGAUGGAUGUCUAAGAGGGGAGAGAUAUCAGAAAUUUAUCCAAAGGCUACCCUGAGGCUCACUUGUCAGAAAAGUCAUCGGGAAACACAAACAUCAGAUGGCAGAAUCCACUCCCAAGGGAAAGAAAUCAUCUGUGCUGGUCCCCCAAAACCAUGCCAUUCCAUUUUGAGCCUGAAGACAAAGAUGAGGCCUGAAGCAGGAGUCCAGUGCAGUUAUUUGUAAACAUGGGGCCAGGGAUAUGAGAGAGCAUCCUCCCCAGGAAGGCUAAAGGCCCUUCUUAAUAGGCCCACCCUUAUUCCUACAAAUACUCUAGUUAACAGGAAUCUAAAAGAAAGCACAAAGCAGAAGGUGUCUCCACUCCAACCUGACAUCUUCCAACCUGCUACCAUGGAUCCAACAAAUGUUGCAGUGCAGCAUGGGAUACUCCCACAUGAACCCCACCCAGCCCCUCAGCCAGCCACACACCCAGAGAAGACACUGCCAUGCUCACAUGCAAAUUCUUGUUCCCCCAAAUCACUUCAUAAAAUGUUGUCAUCCCCAUCCAUUGGCAGUUACGGUGGCAGAAGCCCAAAGGCGGCCCACAGAGGCACUUUCAGAUACACAUGCCUGACUGAGGCAGAAGAGUCAUGGCAACCCAAGGCAACACAGGCUGGCAAUAUUCAUUCCUAUGGAAUGCGAUGGUGGAGGAGUCAGACAUCUCUCCUCCUCGGUGAGCUUCCCUUCUUUGCUUAUUGAGCCUGAAUGAGUGCUCCCCCAUUGGCCCUGCCCAGCCCUAGACUGGAAUAUGAGAGGAGGGUCUCCUGAAGAA